UGUGUGUGUGUGUCUUAUUUUUGUCUUCGCUCUGUAGCCACAUGGCUGUGUUCCCUUUCUGUUUGUUUUCCCAUUUCCCUUCUAAAUAUUUUGCAUCAUCUGGGAGACUUUGCCAGGCCGAGGUCGGCUCGCUGGAGGACUGCAUUCCUCUGAUCUGUGGCAUUAGGUUGUUGCCAUGGCAAAGGCUGCUUACCAGGAGGAACACUUCUCGGAGCUGGGCAAUUCCGAGCUCGUUUCUUCCUCUCCUGCACAUGCUUGGCUAUUCUGACAGCCACACCGGCCCAGAGAGGGCUUUCUCCAAUCGUAAACUAUGUUCCUGGAACGUGAACUUCAUUUUGUUUGCCUUUCAAGAUACAGAAGUAUUUGGUUCUGUUUAUUUUUGUUCCAGAUGGGCAGGGCCCUCUUGCCUGUUCUGACUAAUCCACUCGUCAGGGCUGGAAUCUCCUAACAGUUCCUUCCUCCAGAUGCAGGGCACUAAUUACUGUCACCAUGAAGGGGAAUUAGCCUAUGAGGUACUGCAGAAGUGACUGUUGAAGAAAUAGCUGCACAAGCUAAAACAAGGUAGAAGAGAAACAAAAUGCCUUCCUUAAACAGAGAGAAUUUCCAUUCCUGAAGUAAGUGGUUGUGUUUUAUGAAGUACGUGCCAGGAAUCAAACCUAGGACCUCAACGCCAGUUAACAUGCCAUACUCUCCCACCAUUGAACAAUAUCCAGAGACUGCUGACACAUCUUUCUUUGUGCUCACACAAGUUCAUAUGCAGAGUGCUGUCACAUUCCCCCUCUACUGCCUGCUGAUCAAGAUGUAGAACUCUUGGCUCCUCCAGUACCAUAUCUGCCUGCAUGCUGCCAUGUUUUCCACUAUGAUGAUAGAAGACUGAACGGGAGGGGUGCCAAGGAAGUGACAAGGCCUAGGAUGGAGGCCCAGUGGAAGACAGCAGAGUGGACAGAAUGACAGAAAUUCAUGGGAGACGACUCUGGUUGGAUGGCAGUCCCGUUUACAUCUACAGAGACUCAGUUGUUUUCAAUUAUUGCUCCGGCAUUCCUGAUUGCUCACCUUUUUCUAGGAAACUACUGGGGCUGAACUUCAGAUGCUGGGACCAGAGAAGUGGCUCGGCAGUUAAGAGGACCUGGCAGCUCUUCCAGAGGACCUGUGUUUGAUUCCCAGAACUCCUAUGGUAGCUCAAAACCGUGUGUCUCCAAUCAUAGGGAGUCCAGCGUCCUCGUCUGGCCUCCAUGAGCACUGCAUGCAUAAGGUGCACAAACAUAAAUGCCAGCAAAAAUAAAAAUCCGUACACAGCUAAUCUCUGAAGCCCUUAAAAAGGAAUAAAGAAAAAAAUCAGAGAGAUUGAAGACAUAGAAAAGGUUCUAACUAGCAUCAACUUAAAGCUGGAAGGGUUCGUGUGUCAAGGCAAUGAAGCUACUUAAGUCUGGAGUUUACCAAUUUCAUGGAAAAUUCUAAGCUCUUUGAAAUAAAAAUAAGGAGCUGAUCCAUUACUUGUGGAAAUACGGAUUCCUCUUGCCAUUACUCUUUAAGCUUACACUGUAUACAGACAUAAUGGCUAUUGAAACGUCUUUUCGUUUUCUAUGAUCAUCUGAAGCAUGGAAGUUGCAGUUAAAUGGAGUUCGGUGUGGACGGGAGCUACACACAGCUCAGUGGAGAAAUGCUUGCUCUGCAUCCAGGGGCUGGCCUGGCUACUUCCCAAAAUAGGAUCAGAGCUCCAAGGAAGCAGAGAGAGACAAGCAAGGUCUGUUGAAGCCCAAGCCUGGAACUGACACUAGCCCAUUCAAUACCUCAAAUUGGACCAAGGAAAUAACAGCAGUACAGACAAAGGGGAGGAAAACGACUGCAUUUUUCUUGGGAAGGACUGCAAAGAGUUAUGGAAUUCUUGUAAUUAACCAGUAAAGAGACGUACACCAAUCCCCCACCCUGAUCCAUGACACUCUCUAAUCAGUAGUUCAUGAUGAGAACCUAACCCAGCUUUGAAAAGGAAAAUAAUUAAAUCCAGUAUUGUAGCACAUCCCGGGUACUGGGCUGGAAAGAAGUAUUUCUUUGUGUUCAGCAAAGCACCGCUAGCAAUAAUCUGCUGAAGUACGUCAUUGCGAAAUUCUUGAUGAUGCCAUCAGGUGCUUAGUAAAUGGUGUGAUGAUCUCUGCACCGUUUACUUCCCUGUACACUGAUUUUGUGAUAAUGGUGUUAUCGAUGAUAAUGAUUUGUUUUCUAUGUGUAGGCUACAGACAUGGUGCGUUAAAACGUUAGUUUCAAUUAUACUCUUACUCUCUGUCUACUGGCACGCUCAGUUGAGGAUGGGGAUAUGGUAACGUUUAGACUCUAAACUUUAGAGGGUUCAGUAACUAUCAGUUAUGCACCUAGAGGAAGCAAGCACCAAGAACAAACUUCAAGAUAUAUUAAAAAUCCUGAUACAAUUCUGGGCCUCUGCACAUGUAUUUAUUAGUGCUAAGAGGCACCUAAGUAUCCUUAACAGAGAAUUAAAAAAAAAAAAGUCAGCAAUUACAGAGCACUAUUGGCAUCUCACAGAUUAGUUUAUCAAAACCAAAGAUGGGGAGGGGAAAAAAACCUGUCGAAAUCAACAGGCAAGUAUCAAAGCUGGGACUGAAAUGUGCAUGUGGAAACACUAAGCUCUGUAUUGCUUCCCUUAAACUUCUGUGUUACAGAAGAGUAUGGCAGUGGUCAAUGCCCUCUGACUGAAUUCAUCUGGUUCUUAGAAUCACACGAAAUAACAAUUCUAUUGCCUUGUUUUUGGCAUCUAAAGAAUGUGGAAUUGGACUAAGUAUGUUUUGUCUCCCCUUCCCUUACAUUUGGGCCUAUUUCUUUUUGGACACUUGUAUCCUAUUAGCACUGACAUAUUUUAACACUUGCACUAUGGCCUGAACACUUCUGUAACAAACUCUGAAUUUGUUGUAAUAUUUAAUAGGACACACUUUGUAGCCUAUCUUCAAAAAAAUCUCAUGCAGUUCUACAUUUCUUCACGCAACAUGGAAGGAACGUAGACUGGCUGAGAGGAAUUUGGAAAGAUCUAUGUCUCAAAGUUAGCAGAACACUGACUGGAUUAAAAACGGGACCUCUGAAAAAUCAAGAAAGACAGACUGCAAAGGUCACAGCCUUCUAGAAGACCCAAAGACUAUCUGAUUUGAAAGCAGUGCUCAGAACUUGCCUGGGAUACUACUGCAGUAUAGAUUCUCAACAAAGGAAACAUUUUCAGAAAUGAACUCUCAAGUCCGUACUCACCAGUCCCACUACUGUACACAUUAGAAUGCCAUUCCAAUGUUGAAUUAAAGAUGUGUCACUGCCACCACCUGGUCCAUACUGGGCGUCGGAGGGGCUCAGUCCCGCGUCCGCGAUCUCCGCUGCGGGAACUCCGGCGCCGCUGCCGCUGCUACUCAGCAUGGGCACUCGAACUUCCGCAGCCCGGUUCGGCAGCGGCUGGGACCUGGAACAAAGAGGCCCUGGCAGCCAAUGGCAGCGGGGCAGUGCCGGGUAGCGGCCAAUCAGCGCGCGCCGCACGCACCUUCGCAGCCAGAGCGUGCCGCUAGCAAGGUGAGGGGCGGGGCCGCGAGGGGCGGGGCCCUGCGGAGUUCCCU
rnacentral:lncRNA from 1 species